rnacentral:rRNA from 3 species
CCUGGCGGCAGUAGCGCGGUGGUCCCACCUGACCCCAUGCCGAACUCAGAAGUGAAACGCCGUAGCGCCGAUGGUAGUGUGGGGUCUCCC